rnacentral:lncRNA from 1 species
AUGGCUGCCACCCCUUCCCAUAAGGCCUUGGGGUGCCAAGAUGGCCGCCGACCUAUCCCAGUAGACACUGUGGCACCAAGAUGGCCGACACCCCUUCCCAGAAGGCCUUGGGGUGCCAAGAUGGCCGCCACCCCUUCACAACAUCCCUUGUGGCAACAAGAUGGCCGCCAACCCUUCCCAGAAACCCUUGCGGUGCCAAGAUGGCGGCCAUUCUAUCUCCCCCCCAUUGCCUCCCAUUGUCCCCCAUAUCCCCCCAUAGACCCCAUAUUACCCCCCAUAUCCCCCUAUAUCCCCCNUAUAUGUCCCUAUCCCCCUGCAGUUCCCCCUCCGCCCUCCGGGUGGCGCUGUGUGCCUGUUGGCAUGUCCUUCGUCGCCGUCGUCUUCGUCACCUCCCUCGUGUCCUGGCCCUAUUGGAGGCCGUGCUCAAAGCCGCCCCCAACGCCGUCACCCCACAACAUGGCGUCCGCCUCCGCCUCGGCCUGCAGGCUGCCCAUCCCUUGCGAUGACAAGAUGGCCGCCGACCCAUCCCAGAAUGCCUUGGGGUUCCAAGAUGGCCGACACCCCUUCCCAGAAGGCCUUGGGGCUCCAAGAUGGCCGACAAUCCUUCCCAUAAGGCCUUGGGGUUCCAAGAUGGCCGACACCCCUUCCCAGAAGGCCUUGUGGUAUUAAAAUGGAUGCCAACAAUCCUUCCCAGCAUCCCUUGCGGUCCCAAGAUGGCUGCCGCCCCUUCCCAGCAUGCCUUGAGGUGCCAAGAUGGCUGCCUACCCAUCCCAGUAGACACUGCUGCACCAAGAUGGCUGCCACCCCUUCCCAUAAGGCCUUGGGGUGCCAAGAUGGCCGCCGACCUAUCCCAGUAGACACUGCGGCACUAAGAUGGCCGCCAAUCCUUCACAGCAUCCCUUGCGGCACCAAGAUGGCCGCCACACUUCCUUUCCCUCGGUGCCAAGAUGGCUGACACCUCUUCCCAGAAGGCCUUGGGGUGCCAAGAUGGCCGCCAACGACCCUUCCCAGCAUCCCUUGCGGCAACAAGAUGGCCGCCACCCCUUCCCAGAAGGAUUUGGGGUGUCAAGAUGGCCGACACAAGCCAUCCCAGAAGGCCUUGGGGUUCCAAGAUGGCCGACAACCCUACCCAGCAUCCCUUGCGGUGCCAAGAUGGCUGCCAUUCUAUCUCCCCCAUUGUACCCCGUAUCACCCCAUAACCACCCAUAUCCCCCCAUAGACCCCAUUUUCCCCAUACCCCCAUAUCCCCCUAAAUAUCCCCCUAAAUAUCCCCCCAAGACCCCCCCUAUAUCCCAUAGACCCCAUAGACCCCAUACAAGCCCCCAUAGACCCACCAUAUCCCCCCAUUUUAGACCCCCCAUAGCCCCAUGAUUACCCCCAUAUUUCCCCAUAUUACCACCCUUAUAACCCCAUAUCCCCCCAAACCCCAUUACCCCCCAUAUCCUCCUAUAUCCCCCCAGUAUACCCCCUAUAUUCCCACCAUAUCCCCUAAUAUCCCCCUUAUAUCCCCCCCAUAACCCCACCAAUACCCUUAUAGAAUCCCCCAUCAUAUGACCCCAUCAUGUACGCAUCCGUACACCCCCCAUAGACCCUGAAUCAGUCUCUCC